AAGAGUUUGAUCAUGGCUCAGGAUGAACGCCGGCGGUGUGCCUAAUACAUGCAAGUCGAACGCGUUGGCCCAAUUGAUUGACGGUGCUUGCACCUGAUUGAUUUUGGUCGCCAACGAGUGGCGGACGGGUGAGUAACACGUAGGUAACCUGCCCAGAAGCGGGGGACAACAUUUGGAAACAGAUGCUAAUACCGCAUAACAGCGUUGUUCGCAUGAACAACGCUUAAAAGAUGGCUUCUCGCUAUCACUUCUGGAUGGACCUGCGGUGCAUUAGCUUGUUGGUGGGGUAACGGCCUACCAAGGCGAUGAUGCAUAGCCGAGUUGAGAGACUGAUCGGCCACAAUGGGACUGAGACACGGCCCAUACUCCUACGGGAGGCAGCAGUAGGGAAUCUUCCACAAUGGGCGCAAGCCUGAUGGAGCAACACCGCGUGAGUGAAGAAGGGUUUCGGCUCGUAAAGCUCUGUUGUUAAAGAAGAACACGUAUGAGAGUAACUGUUCAUACGUUGACGGUAUUUAACCAGAAAGUCACGGCUAACUACGUGCCAGCAGCCGCGGUAAUACGUAGGUGGCAAGCGUUAUCCGGAUUUAUUGGGCGUAAAGAGAGUGCAGGCGGUUUUCUAAGUCUGAUGUGAAAGCCUUCGGCUUAACCGGAGAAGUGCAUCGGAAACUGGAUAACUUGAGUGCAGAAGAGGGUAGUGGAACUCCAUGUGUAGCGGUGGAAUGCGUAGAUAUAUGGAAGAACACCAGUGGCGAAGGCGGCUACCUGGUCUGCAACUGACGCUGAGACUCGAAAGCAUGGGUAGCGAACAGGAUUAGAUACCCUGGUAGUCCAUGCCGUAAACGAUGAGUGCUAGGUGUUGGAGGGUUUCCGCCCUUCAGUGCCGGAGCUAACGCAUUAAGCACUCCGCCUGGGGAGUACGACCGCAAGGUUGAAACUCAAAGGAAUUGACGGGGGCCCGCACAAGCGGUGGAGCAUGUGGUUUAAUUCGAAGCUACGCGAAGAACCUUACCAGGUCUUGACAUCUUGCGCCAACCCUAGAGAUAGGGCGUUUCCUUCGGGAACGCAAUGACAGGUGGUGCAUGGUCGUCGUCAGCUCGUGUCGUGAGAUGUUGGGUUAAGUCCCGCAACGAGCGCAACCCUUGUUACUAGUUGCCAGCAUUAAGUUGGGCACUCUAGUGAGACUGCCGGUGACAAACCGGAGGAAGGUGGGGACGACGUCAGAUCAUCAUGCCCCUUAUGACCUGGGCUACACACGUGCUACAAUGGACGGUACAACGAGUCGCGAACUCGCGAGGGCAAGCAAAUCUCUUAAAACCGUUCUCAGUUCGGACUGCAGGCUGCAACUCGCCUGCACGAAGUCGGAAUCGCUAGUAAUCGCGGAUCAGCAUGCCGCGGUGAAUACGUUCCCGGGCCUUGUACACACCGCCCGUCACACCAUGAGAGUUUGUAACACCCAAAGUCGGUGGGGUAACCUUUUAGGAGCCAGCCGCCUAAGGUGGGACAGAUGAUUAGGGUGAAGUCGGAACAAGGUAGCCGUAGGAGAACCUGCGGC
rnacentral:rRNA from 2 species